GCGCCCGUAGCUCAGUUGGAUAGAGUGCUUGGCUACGAACCAAGAGGUCGGGAGUUCGAAUCUCUCCGGGCGCGCCA
rnacentral:tRNA from 1 species